CAUGAACAACUGCCCGCUGGACACCUCCGCCUGGAAGCCUAGCAGGCACCCAGACUUACAGGUCCAACCAAGCUGCGGAGACACCUGUCGUCCCAAGUCAGAAAAACGAUUCUUCUGAUUCCAGUCCCAGUGCCCUUCCUGCUAAACCCUGCAGCCUAAGAAGCAGUCAUCAGAUAAUGGCCGUCUUCUCCAUUCUCCUCUGUUUCACUGCACUGGCUCCGUCAGCCUGCAAAGGAAACCCAAAACACCUACAUCAGCCAAGGGGAAGACACAGAUGCUACCCACCGCCACCCUACCCAGCUCCCGCUCAAACACCAGCCUUCAGAGGGGAUUGCAGAUGAAGGAUUGAGGACCCAAAAUAAAAACAGCAGCAGCUACCUUCUGAUGAGCGCUUACAAGAUGCUGCAAACUGGCAAAACCAGAUGGCAGACUUCGAGUCAAACAGUCAAUAUAUAAAAAUAAAGGGAUUUCACCCAAAAAAGGCCAGAUUUCAGCUUCUGAAUGCAACACGCAGUCCCACAUGACCACAGUCAGUUAGAGGUGACAUACCUGGUUCUCCACAGUCCCCACCACUCCCUCUUGCCUUAUACCCAGCCCUC